rnacentral:piRNA from 1 species
UAGAAAAAAGUUGUCAUCAUC